AUUCUGGUGGCCGAUUUGCAGGUUUGUGGUUGAUUGGACUUUGUCUCCCACAGAAAGCCCAUUUAUCCCGAUCGCGCUCAAAGAAAGCCUUUCUUUAACUGCUUCAUCUGAUCUGUACUCUGCCUGUUCCUCUGCACCCACCCCUGGCGCCAGCAGAAGCCCUAAAGAAGAUCAUCUUGCCUGGCCGCGCCCUUAAUCCCGCUGUAGGCACACCCUCGACACCGGGGAUGCCGCCUCCGCGCUGUCGCCCAUAUGAAGCCCACGCCAGCUUUCCAGGUAUACCACCUAAGGGGGCAAGGCCGAACUGCGGUGCCUCGGAACUCACCGGUGAUGGCGGGAGAGGCGCCCGCUACCAGGGUAGGAAAGCACCUCCGAGACGAGCGAGGUGAUCCAGCACGACGCGCAUCGCCAAGGCGCGCGAGGCUAGAUAUCCAUAAUUUUGGUAAUACUCUGAAGUUUCCUGAAGCAAGUGUGGACAACGGUGCCCCUGAUGUUGCACAUGUUGGUAAAAGGUCAUCCAAUAUGAUGUAUCCAAGUCUCUCAUCAUCCGCAUCAAGUGACCAAACAUAUCGGCUUGGGAUGCCCAUUAGUCCAUCUAUAUUUAUAUCAGUCCUAAUAUGUCCUACGUUCAGCAUUUGAAUCUAAAAUAGGGAACACAAGGCGUCAUCCAAUAUGCUGUAUUCAAGUCUCUCAUCAUCUGCAUCAAGUGACCAAACAUAUCGGCUUGGGAUGCCCAUUAGUCCAUCUAUAUUUAUAUUAGUCCUAAUAUGUCCUAUGCUCAGCAUUUGAAUCUGAAAUAGGGAACACAAGGCCUCUCCAAUUAAGACUAGAUGGUUCAUCACUGGACUCCAUCGAUCCUUACAUUGUUCUAGAAUUUCAACAUUUCUGAUCUAACAGUUGAUUUGACAAGUCUGGGAUGUGAUUUUCUGGCUUGGGUAGUUAUUUGUAGUAUUUAUUUUGACAACUUGCACUCCGAAACCAUGAAAAAAUCUUAUCAGUCUGAAAGUAUGGACAAACAUCCCACUUUAGUAGCUACUUAUGUGCCCCUGUUUGAUGCCAAGUAAUACAAUAGUUCUACCAUCUUCUUUUUUUCCUUUGAUGUCCAAUUUGCCUAUCAUUCUAAUCACAGUGUUGGUAUUUCAUAUUCAUGUUGAGACUUGCAUACUCUUGGGAACCACGGGAGUAUCUACUUUGUGCGUUCAUCCUCAGAUCUCUUACUUGAUUCCCCAGACCAUGAUGUACAUUUGAAUUGUGUUUGUGAUUUCUUCCAUGGAAAUUAACAUGAUGUCCAUAUUAUCUCCAGUCGAUUCAUGGGUAUGACGCCAUUAGGCAUGUCGCCGCCCUCAAGUGGCGCGCAUGCGGCCUCUCCUCCAUUGGUGGGAGCGCCGAAUCCCCAUGGAGACAAGUGGCGCGCAUGCCACAUCUCCACUGGUGGGAGCACCGGAUCCCCAUGGAGAUGCAGCAAGCAGCUGGUGGCCAGGGGGCGCAGGCAUAGUGGCGAAGGCCCUCCACCAUUGGCGAGAGCACUGAAUUUCCAUGGAAAUUCAGCGAGCAACAUGGUUCUGUAGCCACCGGCCUGGGGGCAUAGGCGCGGCGGCGGCCGACCCAAUCAAGAUCUCUUAGUUGCUGUCACAAGUGCCGAUGUGCAAAUGUGGAUUGACAAUGACGUGCUGGCAGCUCAAAGAAUGAAAGGAGCAUGUGUACCCAUUGAAUCAGAUCGGCCUUCACUACCUGAUUACAUGAUUUGGCUAGUACCGGCUAAUAUACUGCGGUCUGAAGGGAAACAACUUAGAGCCUCUGACUGCAUUGCAAAAGGUUAGUAGGUCAAUGGUCCUGAGUCCUGCUCAUGUAGUUGUACCAAUGCAAACUGAUUGAUGGGUACACAUGAAUCUGAACUGCUUUGACAGAAGUAAUACAAUAGUUUUUCUGUCAUUUUUUUCUUUUUGUGUCCAAUUUGCCUAUCAUUCUAAUCACACUGUUGGUAUUUUAUAUUCAUGUUCAGACUUGCAUACUCUUGAGAACUAUGCGAGUAUUUGUUUUGUGCGUACAUACUCAAAUCUCUUACUUGAUUCCGCAUACCAUGAUGACGUUGGUAAUUCUAAUUGUGUUUGUGAUCUCUUCCAUGGAAAUUAACAUUAUGUCCAUAUUAUCUCCAGUUGAUUUCACGGAUACCUUCACUACUUGACUCCCAAUUUUUAACAUUAUGGCAGAGUUGAUUUGUGGUCUGCCAUAUUAUCUCUAGUUCAGAACUUGCCGAUGUAGUUGACGUGCCUCAGUGGAAUGAAGAGAAGUCGCAGAUGACAUAGUUAAAUAGUCAUGUUCAGAUUUAGACUCGUACAUGGUGUCAUCUCAUCAGUAUAUAAUCUUACACUGCAUACUGUGGAAAAUAUGACCGUGGUUUAACCCACAUGUGUGUGUUGGUAUAUAAUCUGUAACACAAACACAAAAGGUAUAGGCCCCGUUUGGUUCGGCUGUGGAUUUCUAAAAGUAGCUGUGAAAAAUCUGUUGUGGAAAAACAGUUGUGGAAAAUCUCAUGUGAAAAAGAUGUAGGUCAUUUGGCAAACCAGCUGAUACAGCUUUUUCAGAUUUUGGCCCGCAGCGGAAUCAGAUUUUGGAAAGCACGUCCUGGGCUGCUUCCGCUUUUGGUUCAGAUUUUGGCAGCGGAUUUCUGGAAUUGGAUUCUGCUGGGUUCGCCCUUUGGUUCAGAUUCUGCUGCACGGUAGCGGAAUCCGUCGAUAAAAGCUGAACCAAACAGGGCCAUAAAAAGGUUGAUUGCCAAUUCUUGCACUCGGCCUUUCCUCCUUUGUGAACUUAAUGUAUGUUCUUUGUAUACGCCACUUCAAGAUAAUCUGUAUAAUAGUUAUAGGGCAUGGCUUCACCUUAUGGAAAUAAAUCUUUUGGAGAGAAGAUAUUAUAACUGAGGUAUCUGCCACAAUUUUCUUGGAGAAGAAGUAUACUUGGAAUAUUGUGUUUCUCUUCCUGAAAGUUUUCUCAAACUAUUCAUAGCCAAUGAAUCUCAAUUAUUCAAUUUCCAUUCCAUGUUCUUAUCAGUGGAACUAUCGUUGUAUCUCUGUUUUUCCCAUGUGAUCCGGGAUGAUAGAAACUCUAUUAUAUUAGACUGAUGUCUUACCUUUCUUUUCUAAUAUUGGCUGGGCUAAAAUUCCUACUAGGCUUUCUUAGGGAAGAAUAUGAUCCGGUGAAUUUUUAGCUCUAUCAAAAAUAUUUAUGGAUGAUGAAGUGGGUUUGAGACAUAACAUCUCAUGAUCUUUCUACUAUUAUUUCUUCAAGUGCCUUUAUGUUCUAAGCAUAUGUAGUUUCAUUGUUGCAUCAAUUCUGCUUCAAAGAUUGGGAAAUGAUUAAUGCAACCAAUGUCUAAGCUCCAAUAUGGUUUCACUAUUGUUUAUUUUUUAGCCAACACAAAAUACCCUCAAUCAUAUAUGUUUAUGCAAAUAUUACUAUCAUGUUGUCUGUCUCCACAUAUUUACAGAAUUCCUUCCUACCAUUUUAUUGUAAAAAUGGAUGGGCGCAACAACGCGCGCCAUCGAUGAUCUAGUUGGACUUGGACACCACGGCCGACGCUCGCGGUACACGAGUGGCCCCAUGAGAUCGGCGUGGCCGCAUCGGUGGAAGGAUGUGUACAGUCUAGUCAGGAUAUGGUGCAAUGCAAUGACUUUGUUUCCUUUGAUGAACUAACUUUGUU